rnacentral:tRNA from 1 species
UCUGAUAUACUUCAAUAGGUAGAAGGCUGCUCUCAUAAGGCAGUAGUUAUAGGUUCAAGUCCUAUUAUCAGAAC